rfam:Canis lupus familiaris chromosome 1, whole genome shotgun sequence.
GCCUGGCUGGCUCAGUUGGUAAAGCAUAUGACUCUUGAUCUCAGGGUCGUGAGUUCAAACCCCAUGCUGGGUG